ACUGGGAUGAGACUGGGGGGGACUGGGAGAGGUAGGAUGGGACUGGGAGUGCACUGGGAUGGAACUGGGGGGCACUGGGAUGGGACUGGGAUGGGACUGGGGGCACUGGGAUGGGACUGGAAGGAUGGAGUGGGAUGGGACUGGGAUAGGGAUCGGGAUGCAGUGGGAUGGGUCUGGGAUGGAGCUGGGAUUGGGUCCAGGAUGUGGUGGGACAGGACUGGGAUAGGGAUUGGGAUGUAGUGGGAUGGGAUUGUGGGAUGGGACUGGGAGGCACUGGGAGUGAAGGGCACUGGGAGAGGUAGCAUGGGACUGGGUCAGACUGGGAGUGCACUGGGAUGGGACUGGGAGUGCACUGGGAGAGGUGGGAUGGGACUGGGAGUGCACUGGGAAGGGACUGGGAGGAGUAGAAUGGGACUGGGAGGGACUGGGGGCACUGGGAGAACAUUAUGGUCUUACUGGGAGGGACUGUGAUGAGACUGGGAAGCACUGGGAGAGCGUUAUGGGGUUACUGGGAGGCACUGGGAGGGAGUUAUGGUCUAUACUGGGAGGCACUGGGAUGGGACUGGGGGCACUGGGACCCCUCCCUGGGAAGAAGGAAGGGGUUGGGGGGGCCUUCCAGUCUGGCCCAGCGGCCUCCCAGUUUGUCCCAGUCCGGCCCCUGCUGGGUUUCUGUGUCGGCUGAAUCGUCCCGUCGUGGCUCAAUAAAGACAAAUGGCACCAGUGACCUGCUGGGGGGGGGCAACUGGGAGCACUGGGAGGGGGAGGAGAGCACUGGGAGGCACUGGGAAGGGAGUGGGAGGCGUAGGAUGGGACUGGGAUAGCACUGGGAGGGGACUGGGGGCACUGGGAGGGGACUGGGAUGGACUCUGCUGCCCUGGGGGGGGUCACUCACCAACGGCUCAUUCAUAAAUCGGCUCAUUCAUAAACUGGUUCAUUCACAAAUCGCUUCAUUCAUAAAAUCGCUUCGUUCACAAACCGGGCUCCUCCCUCUGGGCCUUUAAUGAGCCGUUUCUCCUUUCCCACUCAUUAACCCCGUCCCUUAACGAGGAGCCCGGAAGUUCAUUAGGGCGGCUCCUUAACGAGCGGGUUCUCUCCCAACAGCGUCCCGCCACUAAUUAGCCCCAUCCCUUAAUGAGCGGGUGCCAGGUGUUCGUUAGGGCGGUUCCUCAACGAGCGGGUUCUCUCCCAACACCGUUUCUCUGGACGCUAAUUAAUCCCAUCCCUUAAUGAGAGGCUUUCCUGGUACUAAUUAAAUCCAUCUUCAUUACUCCAGUUCCUUAACGAGCGGGUUCUCUCCCAGUGUUGUUUCUCUGGACAAUCAUUAAUCCCAUCCCUUAAUGAGCAGUUUUCCUGGUACCAGCUCAAUCCAUGU
rnacentral:lncRNA from 1 species